rnacentral:rRNA from 1 species
AGAGUACGUGAAACCGUUCAGGGGUAAACCUGAGAAACCCGAAAGGUCGAAAGGGGAAAUUCAUUCGCGUUUCGGCAGUCGGCGUCGGAUGGAUAGAGUGACGGAUGGCGUACGCGUCGUCCGCGCCUUCCUUCCUUCGAACCGGCGUCGAACGCGUGCACUUUUCCCCUAGUAGGACGUCGUGAUCCGUUGGGUGUCGGUCUAAGGCCCGUGGUGGAGCCCGUUGUGGAAGUUUCGGCUUCUGCUCGGACCUGCGGUGUCCCGGCCGACUCGCUCGACGGUAUACAGAUGGCGAGGGGCCGCUACUCAGUUAGCGUCCGGCCUGCGGCAAGCGCGUUCGGUGUUUGACGGCGAUCGGACCUGGUGCCGGUCCUGUCCCCGAACGACUGUUGGCCGUGGUGUUCUCGGACAGACCUUGAAACGAAACGCCGAUCUGCGACGCUAUAGCUUUGGGUACUUUCAGGACCCGUCUUGAAACACGGACCAAGGAGUCUAGCAUGUGCGCAAGUCAUUGGGACAUAACUAAACCUAAAGGCGCAAUGAAAGUGAAGGUCCGCCUUGCGCGGACCGAGGGAGGAUGAGCGGUUCGCCCUUAAAAGCGGCCGCUCCGCACUCCCGGGGCGUCUCGUUCUCAUUGCGAGAAGA